rnacentral:rRNA from 1 species
UGGACAAGGAAGACCCUAUGAAGCUUUACUGUAUUUUGGAAUUGGGUUUUGACUUUUCUUGCGCAGUAUAGGUGGGAGGUUACGAGUAUAUUCUUGCGGGAGUAUAGGAGCCAUCAGUGAGAUACCACUCUAGACAAGUUGAAAUUCUAACUUUGUUAGCCGUUAUCCGGCCAAAGAACAUUUCCAGAUAGACAGUUUGACUGGGGCGGUCGCCUCCUAAAAAGUAACGGAGGCGCGCAAAGGUUCCCUCAGGCUGGUCGGAAAUCAGUCGCAGAGUGUAAAGGUAUAAGGGAGCUUGACUGCGAGACCUACAAGUCAAGCAGAGACGAAAGUCGGCCUUAGUGAUCCGGCGGUUUCGAGUGGAAGAGCCGUCGCUCAACGGAUAAAAGUUACUCUAGGGAU